ACAUUUGACCCGAAUUUUGGUUUGGAUAUUUGCUUUAUGAAUAUUCAAUUAAAAGGGAAUCUGGUUAAAAUCCAGAGCUGUUCCCGCAACUGUAUACUUAGUUUUGCGUUUGCAAAAUGCUUUUGAUACUAUUCUUUGUCACUGGAAAUUUCUGGGAAGACUCAUCAAAAGACGUAAGCCAGGAGACCUGCCUUAUUCAAAAAACAAUG
rnacentral:ncRNA from 2 species